GACGAACGCUGGCGGCGUGCUUAACACAUGCAAGUCGAACGAUGAUGCCCAGCUUGCUGGGUGGAGUAGUGGCGAACGGGUGAGUAACACGUGAGUAAACUGCCCCUGACUCGGGGAUAAACGUUGGAAAAGACGUCUAAUAAUGGAUAAGACUGCAGGCCGCAUGGCCGGGUGGAGGAAAGAUUUUUUGGUUGGGGAUGACUGGCGGCCUAGCAGCUUGUUGGUGAGGUAAUGGCUCACCAAGGCGACGACGGGUAGCCGGCCUGAGAGGGUGACCGGCCACACUGGGACUGAGACACGGACCAGACUCCUACGGGAGGCAGCAGUGGAGAAUAUUGCACAAUGGGCGAAAGCCUGAUGCAGCAACGCCGCGUGUGGGAUGACGGCCUUCGGGUUGUAAACCUCUUUUAGUAGGGAAGAAGCGAAAGUGACGGUACCUGCAGAAAAAGCACCGGCUAACUACGUGCCAGCAGCCGCGGUAA
rnacentral:rRNA from 1 species